GAUGAUGGGAUUUAGUGAAGAAGCAGGAAUAAUUCCAAGAUUUUGUGAAGAUUUGUUUGCUCGAGUGGCCACAAAGCAGAGCCAAGAGACAGAGCUUGUGGAAGGGGAAGAACAUGAUCACAGGAUAACCAGCCUCAUAAACCUCAUCGAUCUGGCAGGCAGCGAGCGCUGCUCCACAGCGCACACUAGUGGCGAUCGCUUGAAGGAAGGAGUGAGUAUUAACAAGUCCUUGCUCACGCUGGGAAAGGUGAUAUCUGCGCUUUCCGAACAAGCCAACCGGAAGAGAGUUUUUAUCCCCUAUCGUGAAUCU